rnacentral:lncRNA from 1 species
CACAUUUUUACACAUUAAUGUAUUCCCAGAGUUCAAAUCACUGAUCCUGUUGAAGCAGAUGGGGACUUCCUUGUUGUUUGGGCUGUCCUAGGACUCCUGGACUUCAGUGAUCCUCCUGCCUCAUCCUCCUGGGUAGCUGGUACUACAGGCACAUGCCACCAUGUCCAGUUUUAUUCACUGGUUUUUUUUAAAGCAUAUUUAUCAUUUAGUAUAUUUACAUGUACCCAAUAUGUGGAAUUUUUUUUCCAAAUUCAUAACUCAUUUACAUUCUACCUAUUUGGAGUGUUUAUUUUUUGCAGUGCUGGGGAUGGAACCCAGAGUUUUAUGCAUGUCCCUUUUGGUUUCUUAAUCUUGCCUAUUUUCAAACAGAGCAAGAAUAGCCAGUGUUAAAAAACUAUCAGAACUAAUCCUAUACACAUAUAGGAUUAACAAAAACUGGAGUAACACAAUCUGUUUUGAAUAUUUUUAUUCUACUUCGUUGUUUGAAUGUUUGAGAGAAAAUUUAGAACCUCCAAAUAAUAUAGCUACAUAAUACAUACAAAGUCUGGCAUGCUUCCUGGGUAUGGUGGCGGACCAGGGAGCCUGAAUCAGGAAGACUGCCACAAAUUCAAGGCCAGCCUGGGCUACAUGGUGAGUUCAAGGCCAGCCUGAACUGCAUGGCGAGACCCUGUCUCAUCACCCCCAAAAAGAAAUUCUGGAAUCAACAAUUUUCAAAGAAAACCCUCUUGAAUUGCAAAAUAAUAUUAAUUUGUGGUUUUUGUUUCUAUUUUUAAAUUUUUGUACUGGGUAUUGAACUCAGGGCCUUCACAGUGAGCUACAUCCCCAACCCUUUUUGCUCUUUGUUCCUUUUUUUUUUUUUGAGACAGGUUUUAAGUUGCCCAGUUGGGACUUGAACUGGCAACCUUCCUUCUUCAGCCUCCCAGAGUGCCGUUAUGAUAGGCCUGCACCAUCCUGCCCAGCUCUCAACCUAUAAGAUGUUUACAGAUAACGUUUAAUGUGUUUCCUGGCUUGAUCUUGCUUUUUAAAGUAAUGCUGAGGGCUGGGGAUUUAGCUCGGCGGUUCCUGCGCCUGCCUCGCAAGCUCAAGGACCCGAGUUCGAUCCCCGGUACCAAAAACAAAACAAAAUAAGAACAAUAAAGUAAUCCUGAAUGCUUUAUUAAGGAAUUGUUUUUUCUCUUUUUGCAAUACUG